rnacentral:rRNA from 1 species
AUUGAACGCUGGCGGCAGGCUUAACACAUGCAAGUCGAGCGGGGUGAUGGUGCUUGCACUAUCACUUAGCGGCGGACGGGUGAGUAAUGCUUAGGGAUCUGCCUAUUAGUGGGGGACAACAUCUCGAAAGGGAUGCUAAUACCGCAUACGUCCUACGGGAGAAAGCAGGGGAUCACUUGUGACCUUGCGCUAAUAGAUGAGCCUAAGUCGGAUUAGCUAGUUGGUGGGGUAAAGGCCUACCAAGGCGACGAUCUGUAGCGGGUCUGAGAGGAUGAUCCGCCACACUGGGACUGGGACACGGCCCAGACUCCUACGGGAGGCAGCAGUGGGGAAUAUUGGACAAUGGGGGGAACCCUGAUCCAGCCAUGCCGCGUGUGUGAAGAAGGCCUUAUGGUUGCAAAGCACUUUAAGCGAGGAGGAGGCUCUUUUGGUUAAUACCCAAGAUGAGUGGACGUUACUCGCAGAAUAAGCACCGGCUAACUCUGUGCCAGCCGCCGCCGUAA